rnacentral:rRNA from 1 species
GACGAACGCUGGCGGCGUGCUUAACACAUGCAAGUCGAACGGAAAGGCCUCUUUCGGGGGGUACUCGAGUGGCGAACGGGUGAGUAACACGUGAGUAACCUGCCCUUGACUUUGGGAUAACUUCAGGAAACUGGGGCUAAUACCGGAUAGGAGCUCCUGCUGCAUGGUGGGGGUUGGAAAGUUUCGGCGGUUGGGGAUGGACUCGCGGCUUAUCAGCUUGUUGGUAGGGUAGUGGCUUACCAAGGCUUUGACGGGUAGCCGGCCUGAGAGGGUGACCGGCCACAUUGGGACUGAGAUACGGCCCAGACUCCUACGGGAGGCAGCAGUGGGGAAUAUUGCACAAUGGGUGGAAGCCUGAUGCAGCAACGCCGUGUGCGGGAUGACGGCCUUCGGGUUGUAAACCGCUUUCGCUCAUGACGAAGCUUUGUGUGACGGUAGUGGGUAAAGAAGCACCGGCUAACUACGUG